UACGGAGGGUGCGAGCGUUGUCCGGAAUCAUUGGGCGUAAAGGGCGCGUAGGUGGCGGGACAAGCGUGCGGUGAAAGCUCGGGGCUCAACCCCGAGUCGGCCGUGCGAACUGUUUUGCUUGAGCACUGUAGAGGCAGGCGGAAUUCCGGGUGUAACGGUGGAAUGCGUAGAGAUCCGGAAGAACACCGGUGGCGAAGGCGGCCUGCUGGGCAGUAGCUGACACUGAGGCGCGACAGCGUGGGGAGCAAACAGG
rnacentral:rRNA from 1 species